GAAGUACCCGGCUGGAACUUAAGCAUAUCAAUAAGCGGAKSMWWWKUARACUAACAAGGAUUCCCCUAGUAACUGCGAGUGAAGCGGGAAGAGCUCAAAUUUAAAAUCUGGCAGUGUAAAAGCUGUCCGAGUUGUAAUUUCGAGAAGUGUUUUCUGUGCCAGACCGUGUACAAGUCUCCUGGAAUGGGGCGUCAUAGAGGGUGAGAAUCCCGUCUWUGACACGGAAUUCAUAUGGUGCUCUGUGAUACACUCUCAAAGAGUCGAGUUGUUUGGGAAUGCAGCUCAAAAUGGGUGGUGAACUCCAUCUAAAGCUAAAUAUUGGCGAGAGACCGAUAGCGAACAAGUACCGUGAGGGAAAGAUGAAAAGCACUUUGGAAAGAGAGUGAAACAGUACGUGAAAUUGCUGAAAGGGAAACGCUUGAAGUCAGUCGCAUUUGCCAGAAUUCAACUGUCACUUGUUGGCAGUGUACUUUCUUGGUGAAUGGGCCAGCAUCACUUUUGGCUCGCUGGACAAGGGCAGGAGAAAUGUGGCACUCUUUUAUUAGGGUGUGUUAUAGUCUUCUGUCAUAUACAGUGGCUGGGAGUGAGGACCGCCUUUAUUGUAGGAUGCUGGCGUAAUGGCUUUAAUCGACCCGUCUUGAAACACGGACCAAGGAGUCUAACAUGCAUGCGAGUGUUUGGGUGGUUAAAACUCAUGCGCGCAAUGAAAGUGAACAGUGGGGAAGGCUGUCAUGGCCUGCACCCAUGCCUGGACUUGAGAUUUAUCGACGGUUCUACGGUCGAGCAUGUAUGUUGGGACCCGAAAGAUGGUGAACUAUGCCUGAAUAGGGUGAAGCCAGAGGAAACUCUGGUGGAGGCUCGUAGCGAUUCUGACGUGCAAAUCGAUCGUCAAAUUUGGGUAUAGGGGCGAAAGACUAAUCGARSCWKCURGYARCUGGUUCCUGCCGAAGUUUCCCCUCCAGGAAA
rnacentral:rRNA from 1 species